rnacentral:rRNA from 1 species
CAGUAGCCGCGGGAAUACGGAGGGGGCUAGCGUUAAUCGGAAUUACUGGGCGUAAAGCGCACGCAGGCGGUCUGUCAAGUCAGAUGUGAAAUCCCCGGGCUUAACCUGGGAACUGCAUUUGAAACUGGCAGGCUAGAGUCUUGUAGAGGGGGGUAGAAUUCCAGGUGUAGCGGUGAAAUGCGUAGAGAUCUGGAGGAAUACCGGUGGCGAAGGCGGCCCCCUGGACAAAGACUGACGCUCAGGUGCGAAAGCGUGGGGAGCAAACAGGAUUAGAUACCCCGGUAGUCCCUGUCUCUUAUAA